rnacentral:rRNA from 1 species
AGAGUUUGAUCAUGGCUCAGAAUCAACGCUGGCGGCGUGCCUCAGACAUGCAAGUCGAACGCGAAAGCCCUUCGGGGCAAGUAGAGUGGCGCACGGGUGAGUAACACGUAGGUAACCUACCUUUGGAUUGGGAAUAACAACCGGAAACGGUUGCUAAUACCGAAUAAUGCAGCGGCACCUAAUGGUGACAGUUGUUAAAGCGGGGGAUCGCAAGACCUCGCGUCUGAAGAGGAGCCUGCGGCAGAUUAGCUAGUUGGUAAGGUAAUGGCUUACCAAGGCGAUGAUCUGUAGCCGGCCUGAGAGGGCGGUCGGCCACACUGACACUGACAUACGGGUCAGACUCCUACGGGAGGCAGCAGUCGGGAAUUUUGGGCAAUGGGCGAAAGCCUGACCCAGCAACGCCGCGUGAAGGAUGAAAUCCCUCGGGAUGUAAACUUCGCAAGAACGGGAAGAAUAAGUGAGAGCUAACAUCUCUUACGAUGACGGUACUGUUUGUAAGCUCCGGCUAACUCCGUGCCAGCAGCCGCGGUAAUACGGGGGGAGCAAGCGUUGUUCGGAUUUACUGGGCGUAGAGGGCGCGUAGGCGGCCACCGCAAGUCGACUGUGAAAUCUCCGGGCUUAACCCGGAACGGUCAGCCGAUACUGCGGGGCUAGAGUGCAGAAGGGGCAACUGGAAUUCUCGGUGUAGCGGUGAAAUGCGU